GACGAACGCUGGCGGCGUGCUUAACACAUGCAAGUCGAACGGGAAGGCCUGCUUUCCCUUGUGGAUUGCGGGUACUCGAGUGGCGAACGGGUGAGUAACACGUGAGUGAUCUGCCCCCAACUUGGGUAUAAGCCUGGGAAACUGGGUCUAAUUCCCGAUAGGACUGCAGGGUGGUGCCUGUGGUGGAAAACGAUUUUCUAGUGGUUGGGGAUGAGCUCGCGGCCUAUCAGCUUGUUGGUGGGGUAAUGGCCUACCAAGGCGGCGACGGGUAGCCGGCCUGAGAUGGUGGACGGCCACAUUGGGACUGAGAUACGGCCCAGACUCCUACGGGAGGCAGCAGUGGGGAAUAUUGCACAAUGGGCGGAAGCCUGAUGCAGCGACGCCGCGUGGGGGAUGACGGCCUUCGGGUUGUAAACUCCUUUCGACCGCGAGGAAGCCACCUGGUUGGAAGGGUGGUGACGGUAGUGGUAGAAGAAGCACCGGCUAACUACGUG
rnacentral:rRNA from 1 species